UUUAUUUGAAGAGUUUGAUCAUGGCUCAGAUUGAACNCUGGCGGCAAGCCUCAUACAUGCAAGUUGAACGAGAAAGUAUCUUCGGAUGCGAGUACAGUGGCGGACGGGUGAG
rnacentral:rRNA from 1 species